rnacentral:rRNA from 1 species
GGGNGNGUAGGCGGANUNAUAAGUCNGUGGNGAAAGCCGGNNGCUUAACUGCNGAACUGCCNUGGAUACUGUCAAUCUUGAGUACAUUUGAUGUGGGCGGAAUGUGUCAUGUAGCGGUGAAAUGCUUAGAUAUGACACAGAACACCGUUGCGAAGGCAGCUCACNAAACUGUAACUGACGCUGAGGCACGAAAGCGUGGGUAACAAACAGGAUUAGAUACCCUGGUAGUCCACGCUGUAAACUAUGAUUACUCGAUGUUGG